rnacentral:lncRNA from 1 species
AACACAAGCAUUAUGUAUUACUGUACUGUUGGAGCUAGAAACACAAGCAUUAUAUAUUACUGUACUGUUGGAGCUAUAAACACAAGCAUUAGGUAUUACUGUACUGUUGGAGAUAUAAACACUAGCAUUAUAUAUUACUGUACUGUUGGAGCUAGAAACACAAGCAUUAGGUAUUACUGUACUGUUGGAGCUAUAAACACAAGCAUUAUAUAUUACUGUACUGUUGGAGCUAGAAACACAAGCAUUAUAUAUUACUGUACUGUUGGAGCUAUAAACACAAGCAUUAGGUAUUACUGUACUGUUGGAGCUAUAAACACAAGCAUUAUAUAUUACUGUACUGUUGGAGCUAGAAACACAAGCAUUAUGUAUUACUGUACUGUUGGAGCUAGAAACACAAGCAUUAUAUAUUACUGUACUGUUGGAGCUAUAAACACAAGCAUUAUGUAUUACUGUACUGUUGGAGCCAUAAACACAAGCAUUAUAUAUUACUGUACUGUUGGAGCUAGAAACACAAGCAUUAGGUAUAACUGUACUGUUGGAGCUAUAAACACAAGCAUUAGGUAUUACUGUACUGUUGGAGCUAUAAACACAAACAUUGUGUAUUACUGUACUGUUGGAGCUAUAAACACAAGCAUUAGGUAUUACUGUACUGUUGGAGCUAGAAACACAAGCAUUAUAUAUUACUGUACUGUUGGAGCUAGAAACACAAGCAUUAUGUAUUACUGUACUGUUGGAGCUAGAAACACAAGCAUUAGGUAUUACUGUACUGUUGGAGCUAGAAACACAAGCAUUAUAUAUUACUGUACUGUUGGAGCUAGAAACACAAGCAUUAUAUAUUACUGUACUGUUGGAGCUAGAAACACAAGCAUUAUAUAUUACUGUACUUUUGGAAGCUAUAAACACAAGCAUCAUAUCUUACUGUACUUUUGGAGCUCGAAACACAUGCAUUAUAUAUUACUGUACUGUUGGAGCUAUAAACACAAGCAUUAUAUAUUACUGUACUGUUGGAGCUAGAAACACAAGCAUUAUACAUUACUGUACUGUUGGAGCUAGAAACACAAGCAUUAUAUAUUACUGUACUGUUGGAGCUAUAAACACAAGCAUUAGGUAUUACUGUACUGUUGGAGCUAUAAACACAAGCAUUAUAUAUUACUGUACUGUUGGAGCUAGAAACACAAGCAUUAUAUAUUACUGUACUGUUGGAGCUAGAAACACAAGCAUUAUAUAUUACUGUACUGUUGGAGCUAUAAACACAAGCAUUAGGUAAUACUGUACUGUUGGAGCUAUAAACACAAGCAUUAGGUAUUACUGUACUGUUGGAGCUAGAAACACAAGCAUUAGGUAUUACUGUACUGUUGGAGCUAUAAACACAAGCAUUAUAUAUUACUGUACUGUUGGAGCUAUAAACACAAGCAUUAUAUAUUACUGUACUGUUGGAGCUAUAAACACAAGCAUUAGAUAUUACUGUACUGUUGGAGCUAUAAACACAAGCAUUAAGUAUUACUGUACUGUUGGAGCUAUAAACACAAGCAUUAUAUAUUACUGUACUGUUGGAGCUAUAAACACAAGCAUUAAGUAUUACUGUACUGUUGGAGCUAUAAACACAAGCAUUAUAUAUUACUGUACUGUUGGAGCUAUAAACACAAGCAUUAUAUAUUACUGUACUGUUGGAGCUAUAAACACAAGCAUUAUAUAUUACUGUACUGUUGGAGCUAGGACCAGCUUGCUUAGGGGAUAUUUUAGCAGUUCUGCAUUUUAUGAGUUCUGCAUGCAGUCUCUCUCUGUGUCUCACUCUCUCUCUCUCUCUCUCAAACUCACACUGUUCCUCCCUCUCUUUCCAUCUCUCUCUCCCUCGCUCUCUCCAUCUCUCCCCCGCCCCACCACGUUAAGCUCAGGAAGGGUGAUUGGUCUAAAUUGGAUCUAAUGUUUCUGUACCUGGCAGCAGAGAUGCCAGAGCCUGCUGCCCCAUUGUCAUCCAAUUACACACACACACGCACGCACGC